ensembl:lncRNA
GACGCUUGCCGGCCCUUGGAGGAAACAAAAAACAGCACCAAGCUCCAACCCAGUAGCAACGUGCUUCGCUGUUCCAGGGCUGCUCCUUUUAAAUGGUUUCCUCCAACACCCAGCCUCAGAAUCCCCUUUUCCACAGCAUACCGGGAGGAAACAACAGUGAGAGAUAUAAUCAAGGAAAAAUACAGUCAUCAUAGUAGCACUGAACAGCCAUUAGUGCAUCAAGUGCAGUCUACAAACUAGCAGCAGUCCUGACCACCCUUUGAGAACCACUAUCCUAGACCUGGCAGGACACAGCAGGCAGGAGGUGCCAACAAGGACAGAAGGUGCCAGCAAGGGCAGAUGGUAUCUGCAGGAAGCACACUUCACGGGCAGCCAAUGAUAAGCACAAAACGGUGAAAGAAAAAGGAGCUUAAGGUUUAUAAAUUGAAAACAAUUUCUGAGCUCCUCCCUUUUCCAUCCACUGAUAUAAAAACCAGGCUGUUUGGAAUGACUACCUGGAAGAAAAAUCCUUGCUGGCAACCUCCAUCUAGAGUCAGGUCACAUUGCCAGAAACUGUCAGAAAACCUUUCCCCCCACAAAGCAAAGCAUUUUUCUUAAUUAGUGCUAGUGGCCUAGACAUCUGGUUUGCUCCUGGUUCUACACUAGAACCUUAUACUUUAAAUAAUUAAUAAGGAAAUUCCCAAUGANNNNNNNNNNNNNNNCCCCAAUUUUCCAGAGGAAACAACCAAAGAUCAUCAUACUGUGAAAACAUUUAAAACAUUGCCAUGCCACUGUUUCUCUCUGGGCAACCAUGAGGAUUUUGCAAAAGCUUCCUGUUGACAAUUCUGGCACUCACCUUAAAAACAAAAACACUAGAAUUCUAGCAAACGAUUUCAACCUAGCAAACAAUUGUUACUGGGCAUUAAAUAAAGUAGAGGAACAACCCAGGUUGGUAAUGUCACAAUUACACAGCAUGGUGAAAUGUCACCAUCACCUUAUGGCAAUUUCCUCUAAAUCCUUCCAGGGCCAGAUUUUUUUUUUUUUUUUCUUCACCUUUCAAUGCAGUGUGGACAUAGCACUUAUUUUCUGGGAUAUGUUUAGAGGUUACCACACCUAUACUGUCAGAUAGAGAGCUAGAAAAAGAGGGAGAGAGAAAGACCUUGAGUGCAGGCAUACACUGGUUGUAUUUUUCAAUUAUCUUGAACCUAACGAAGUGUUCAAGUUGAGAACUUUCCUGCACUAAUUACUUCACUUGAGAACUUAAUAAAAGCUACCAUAACAUGAUCAGAAAGCUUGCUAAGUAACUGAAUUACUUAUGUGUAAGUAAUUACUUUCCUACUUUUGCAGCUAUAAGGUAAAACAGACUCAAAACAAAAGAAAAUGCACAUCAGCUCAAAAUCUUAUUUCCCUAAAUAUGAAAUGGAAGCAGAAAUUUUGAGAUCCUACUGACUUAGAAUGCACAAAUGUCAGUUUAUAAGCUGUGAAAAAAAUUGUACCAGUACUGUCAGUUUCCUUAACUGCUCAACAAAUGUACCCAAUCUGAUGUUCAGUUCAGUCCAGUCACUCAGUCAUGUCCGACUCUUUUCAACCCCAUGAACUGCAACACGCCAGGCCUCCCUGUCCAUCCCCAAAUCCCGGACUUUACCCAAACUCAUGUGCAUCAAGUCGGUGAUGCCAUCCAGCCAUCUCA